GACGAACUCUGGCGGCGCGCUUAACACAUGCAAGUCGAACGAGACAAUAUAUUCUUGUUUUUCCGAUCUAGAGUAUGACGGGAGAGAAACACGUGACGCAAUCUGCCUUUCGGAGGGGGACACCGAUGGGAAACGAUAUUUAAUACCGCAUCAGAUGCUUGAACCGCAUGAUUUGAUUAUCAAACAUUUAUCGCUGAAAAAUGAUCUCGCGUCAGAUUAUCUACCUGGUAAGGAAACGGCUUACGGAGGCGACAAUCCCCACCCGGACUAAGAUGUUGAUCCGACACGUUGGGACGAACACACCGUCCAGACUCCUACGGGAGGCAGCAGUGGAGAAUAUCGCACAAUGGAGAGAAUCUCUGAUGCAGCGAUGCCGCGAGACGGAAGAACGUUUUAAGAUUAGUAAUCUCUGUCUUCGGGGACCACUAUAGACGGUACCUGAGUAAGAAGCUCCGGCUAAAUACGUGCCAGCAGCCGCGGUAAUACGUAGGGAGCGAGCGUUAUCCGGAAUUACUGGGUGUAAAGGGAGCGCAGGCGGUAUCGCAAGUCAGAUGUGAAAGCCCGGGGCUCAACCCCGGUACUGCAUUGGAAACUGUGGUUCUAGAGUGUAGGAGUGGUAAGCGGAAUUCCUAGUGUAGCGGUGAAAUGCGUAGAUAUUAGGAGGAACACCAGUGGCGAAGGCGGCUUACUGGGCGAUAACUGACGCUGAGGCUGGAAAGCGGGGGGAGCAAAACAGGAUUAG
rnacentral:rRNA from 1 species